GAGAGCAGGAGAGAACCAAACUGUUGUGUAGGCCCUCUCCUAAUCAAUGGAUCACUUUGCUUUUGAAUAAAAUCUGUGAAAGAAAUGGGGAAAAAGGCCACAAAAUACCACCUAGAAACAUAUUUUAUGACAAAGAAACAGGGUGCACCAAACCCAGGCUUCAGUGAGAAAAGAUGGUUGAGUGAACACUACAGCUGUGGAGCUUGUAAAGUUUUCAGGCAGAUUCUGUGGUGGCAGACUGUCACAUCCCUUAGUGGCCACAAUUCCAAAAGGCUGAGAAAGAAAACUCACCAGAAGUUUUUAAGAAGAGAAUCCUGAAAAAAGCUGUAAAGCAGAACUCCAAUCUUCAGCAAUGGGAAAAGAAAAUUUUUUGUUGCUGCUGCUAUAUUUGAAAUGCCCUUGAUUGAGAAUGCAAUGCUGAAAUUCAGAUUAUCCUGAUAGACAUCCCCUUUAAGAGGUGGGGAAGCAUACCUACACAGGCAUUCCCAAAGAGGGAUGUUUAGGGUGAUGGCAAACUGGAAAUGCAAAGGAUGGUUCCUCUCUUAUUUGUGCAACAACUGUGACUGAAUCUUGUUCAUGAGGGCUCCCUGCUGAGGCUGAGAAUUAUUUUUGCUCAAAGAAUGAGCCUGCUUUGUCCUUCCUCCCCCAGCAGCAGGAGAUGAGGUGUGGGGCCCAGGGGACAGGGUGCCCUGCCAUCACAGAGGAAGCCCCUGGCAUAAUUCUCUCUCACAGGAUUUUUUUCCUGGAUAGGCACAGAGAGAAGAAGAUUAAACAAUUCUUAUCUCUCCUUGCUGCCCCUGUUGUUUUUGCACAUGUAGAAUGUGUUAGGAGGAUUGUUUACCUGAAGUGAUUUAUCAAUUGGAUUCUACUAAGGAUUGUUUUAUUUCCUUAGCCAGUUGGGUCAAAGAUGUGUCUGGAGGCAG
rnacentral:lncRNA from 1 species